AUACGGAGGUUGCAAGCGUUACUCGGAAUCACUGGGCGUAAAGCGCGCGCAGGCGGUCUUUUAAGUUGGAUGUGAAAGCCUACGGCUCAACCGUAGAACUGCACCCAAAACUAUUAGACUAGAGUGUGGGAGAGGAAGAUGGAAUUAGUUGUGUAGGGGUAAAAUCCGUAGAGAUAACUAGGAAUACCAAAAGCGAAGGCAAUCUUCUGGAACACUACUGACGCUGAGGCGCGGAAGCGUGGGGAGCAAACAGGAUUAGAAACCCUAGUAGUCC
rnacentral:rRNA from 1 species